UUUACAUACAUGAAUGUAAUUAGAAUUUCAAUUUAGUUUGAGAUCCUUGGGAACUAUUCAUCUGAGUGAGGGUAUUAACAAUAUGGAUUGUUCAUGUUAUCAUUAAUACUCUGGAUUUUAGAUAGAUAGGUACUAUCGAUACGAUAGUGUAAUCCGCAUGAUAUAGACUAUACAUCUGAGUGAGGGUAUUGGUAAUAUGGAUUGUUCAUGUUAUUACUAGCACUAUAAAUGUUGGAUAGAUAGAUACUAUUUGUAGAUACAGUCUAUACAUCCAAGUGAGGGUAUCCAAACACAACAAUAAUUCUUUAGGGAAUUGUUAUCUAUUAUGGGAUACUAUGAAUCUUGGAUCUAUGGGAAUUAUAUCUUACAAUAAUUUUAUAGUUGUUCGAUUAGAUAUAAACAUAAAAUGGGAUACCAUGGGUGUAUAGAUUUGAAUGCGUUAUAUUAAUUGACUAGUAGUAAGCACCAUAUCGGAUACCGUGGGAGUAUAGAUA
rnacentral:lncRNA from 1 species